rnacentral:lncRNA from 1 species
CAAUAUGGCUGCGUUGGGAUCUGUUCACCUUCAGGCUGAGUCGAGACUGAGGUGAAAAAGCGGAAAAACGCGAGAAAAGGUUUCCCCGUUGUACAGAGGCUAGAGUGAGGCUCGGUUGAAUCGGUUGCAGGCGUUGGUGCCUCUGUCAGCGUCCAGGUCACUGCCGCUCCCGCCCCGCUCUUCCCUGGCUGUGCUGGCGGAGGCUGCGCCGAUGAACCUGACUGAGGGUUCAUAGCAGUGGCAGCAAUGCUUAUGGAUGCUGGACAGGUUGUUGGCAUGGAGCCAAGGAUGAGGAGGCACCUUCCAAGCAAUGUGUUUCUGUAGGAGUGUCACAGGUCACAACUUUAAAGCCAGCUUUGUCCACCCAGAAGGCCCAGCCCUGUGAGACAUGUAGCUCACUUCUGAAGGACAUUCUACACCUGGCUGAGCAUGACGGAACACACCCCAAGCGUACAGCCAAGCUUUACCUGCACCAAAAGGAGCAUCUUAGAGAGAAGCUCACCAGAAGUGAUGAAGGGAGGCCUUCGUUUGUG